UCAAUCCUGAGGGCCUGGCUUGACCAAUGCGCAGAGGACUUCCGAGAACCCCCUCACUUCCCGUGCUUACAGAAGCUGCUGGAUUAUCUCAAACGGGUGAUGCCAGGCUCUGACCCAGAGCGAAGAGCACAAAACCUUCUUGAGCAGUUUCAGAAGCAAGAAGUGGAAACUGACAAUGAGCAUCCUGAAGAUAAAGAAUAAAUGACUCAUUCAAGGUUACAAAGAAAGUGGCUGAGCACAAAUCUGAGAGUAUGUCUUCUGAUGCCAUCCUUUCCUGCUGCACCCAACCAGCCAGCCACAAAAAAACGAAAAAACAAUGUUGUUGAAAAAUGACCCAAUGAGUUGCUGGAUGCAGCAUGCUCCCCCCAACACCUCCGUGAUGGACAACAGGACACGACAGAAGUUAUCUCAAGAAUUGUCAGGUUCUCUGGGUCUCAACUUUCCAUCCAGUGAUCUCAGUCCUUGGUCUCAGUAUCCUCAAGGAAUAUUUAUCAUCAUGCUAAAGAAGGGAGUACACUCUACUAGGGGCAGAAAAUUUGCGUUUGUCCAGGGCUGCUGAAAACAUAUGAGGUAAAGAACAGGAGAACCUUUCUGAAAGCUCAGGUGUCCUGGAGACUGAAGGUGCCGUGCCAGGCAGGAGCCCAGCCACCCACACAGAGCCUCUCUCCUGUGCGCUCUCAGGAAAGAACAAGAUCCUGACGUACCAUAUCCUUCUGGAGCUGAAGCUGCCUCUGAGUCCGUUUCUGGUUUUCUUUCACGCUGCUGUCCAGGUUUGCAAAUUUUGAGGUUCCUUCCUAAGAAAUACAAGCGUACAAAGAGGGGAGUGAUGGAGGAUGCCACGCUGGAGAGAAGUGGAGGGACAUAUAGUGUCUGGUACACGACCCCGCAUGACUCUCUGAGUGCCAUGCAAAACAGGCCUGCAGCAGGCAGGCUCUGGCGUGGUGUUAUGCAAACGCUUGGCUGGCUUGUUGCAAGCGGUCUAUUUAUAAUGAAGUCUGGUGGUCUUGGAUUAUCCUGUUUUCCCCCCAACUCUGUAAGAAGAGCAACUGAUUUGGUUAUAAAAUCAAUCAUCAAUACAAGGCAAGCAAUUCUCAGAACCAGAGACAUUUUUACACAUCCCAAAUUUCACUCAAGAGUAAUUCCAUGUCCUGGAAAUGAAGAUCUCUUCCUCUGUACAUGUCAUGAUUUCUUGAUCUUGGCCUGAAAUAGAUGUGCCAGCAUUUUGUGAACAAAAGGGACUAUAUUUCUGUGGCAUUUCUUCGAUAAAUGAAACUUUUGUAGCGGAAGUUUUCUGAGGAAGUCCAGUACUGUGGUACAUCACCAAUCCAUGAAAGCCAGACCUUCACACAUUUUUUGCCCUCUUUAUCCCCCCAAUCAAUCCAAAGCUGCCUCUUGGGUUUGGAACACUGACUAAUCAACCCUUCUACCUGGUGUCUGAGGACAGAGGGCUCCCCUUCUCUCUUCCUGUCUGUAAUGAUCACCAGCUCUUCUACAUAAUGACUAAUCACGAGUUUCCUGACUACACAUAAAGUGUUUUCAGUGUC